UACGUAGGGCGCAAGCGUUGUCCGGAAUUAUUGGGCGUAAAGAGCUCGUAGGCGGUCUGUCGCGUCGGCUGUGAAAUCCCGAGGCUCAACCUCGGGUCUGCAGUCGAUACGGGCAAACUUGAGUGUUGCAGGGGAGACUGGAAUUCCUGGUGUAGCGGUGAAAUGCGCAGAUAUCAGGAGGAACACCGGUGGCGAAGGCGGGUCUCUGGGCAACAACUGACGCUGAGGAGCGAAAGCGUGGGGAGCGAACAGG
rnacentral:rRNA from 1 species